rnacentral:lncRNA from 1 species
ACGGUGUUCUGGGAGGAGUUACGCAGGCAGGGUUGUGGUUGCUGGCUGUUACCAGGACAACCGGAGGCGAUUGACCGUUAUCUGCGGUUUGGAGCCGUUAGCGGGAGAGGCAGAGAUAUUCAGAGGUCUUUUAGGAUGCGCUAAAGGGUCGUGAGGGCUCUCUUAAAAUUUUCUUCACAAGCGGUUAUCCAGUCGUGCCCCGCGGCCCUGCUGCUGGCCCCGGGGAUCUGAGUCGUACCCUCUUGUUUUUCUCUGAGUCAGUCUUAAGGUGAAAUGAAGUGUGGCCCAGUGGCUCCUCACUGUCGCUUCUCUAGUUUUCUGCCUCCUUUUAGAAAAUUGAAUUGAAAAGACAGGAUGAAGUGGACACAGCAUGUGAAGACAAUUCUUUCAAGAAGUUUGGCUGUCAAGGAAAACAGAGAAUGUGAGUAGCCAAAGCAGAAUGACAGUGAAAGAAAGAAAUUGGGAGCCAGACAAUACAGCCCGACAGUUUACGCCUGUACGGAUGUACCUCUUUCACAAAAGAUUGAGUAUGCUUGGGGAAAAAAAAUACACACUAUAAUAGGAGAAAAUGAUGAAGAGAAACUGAGGUAAAGGUGCUAAAGAACAUACAGACACAGAGCAGACAGGCCACCUUUGCAACCACAUGGAGGUUUGUCUGAUAUUGAAGCUAAAGAAGCUAAGCUGGAAGACAGAGAGACCAAGUCCUGAUGACAUUGUUUGAACCCAGAGAUCCAGACAUGCCUGAAAACUAGUUUUACCACUGGACUUAUCCGUUGAAUGAGCCAAUAAACUCUCUUUUAUAC